rnacentral:rRNA from 1 species
UACGUAGGGUGCGAGCGUUGUCCGGAAUUAUUGGGCGUAAAGAGCUCGUAGGCGGUCUGUCGCGUCUGCUGUGAAAUCCCGAGGCUCAACCUCGGGCUUGCAGUGGGUACGGGCAGGCUAGAGUGCGGUAGGGGAGAAUGGAACUCCUGGUGUAGCGGUGGAAUGCGCAGAUAUCAGGAAGAACACCGAUGGCGAAGGCAGUUCUCUGGGCCGUAACUGACGCUGAGGAGCGAAAGCAUGGGGAGCAAACAGG